CCUACGGGAGGCAGCAGUGAGGAAUAUUGGUCAAUGGGCGCGAGCCUGAACCAGCCAAGUAGCGUGAAGGAUGACUGCCCUACGGGUUGUAAACUUCUUUUAUAAAGGAAUAAAGUGAGGCACGUGUGCCUUAUGGUAUGUACUUUAUGAAUAAGGAUCGGCUAACUCCGUGCCAGCAGCCGCGGUAAUACGGAGGAUCCGAGCGUUAUCCGGAUUUAGUGGGUUUAAAGGGUGCGUAGAUGGGUUGUUAAGUCAGUUGUGAAAGUUUGCGGCUCAACCGUAAAAUUGCAAUUGAUACUGGCGGUCUUGAGUACAGUUGAGGUAGGCGGAAUUCGUGGUGUAGCGGUGAAAUGCUUAGAUAUCACGAAGAACUCCGAUUGCGAAGGCAGCUUACUAGACUGCCACUGACGUUGAUGCUCGAAAGUGUGGGUAUCAAACAGGAUUAGAUACCCGUGUAGUC
rnacentral:rRNA from 1 species